UGAGAACCCAAAAGAUCGAAUGGGGAGAUUCAUCGUCAGCACAUUUGGUAUAUGUAUGAGUUAUGAUAUGAGUUAUCCUUGUGAUAAUGCUUGUACGUACUUGUAUUAUUUUUGCUGGAUGUUGUCGGCGUGCACUUCUCCCCUAGUAGGACGUCGCGACCCGUUGAGUGUCGGUCUAUGACCCGGAUGGUAGUCUUUGAUUUUUUUUUAAAAUUGAAGACCACUGGUGCUCUGAUCGACUGCUCGGCGGUAUUCGCACGGUAUUGAGUCGCAAUUAUUUGCGUUGGGCUCGUUGCAAGCGCGGCUAUUCUUCUGGUAGUGCGGAUUCAUGCCGUCACUGGAAAUGGCCAGCUGUUGGUUAACGAUGUUCUUUAACUGAUUCUUUAUUACCGGUCAGCGACGCUACUGCUUUGGGUACUUUCAGGACCCGUCUUGAAACACGGCACAAA
rnacentral:rRNA from 1 species